GAUGAAGAACGCAGCGAAAUGUGAUAACUAAUGUGAAUUGCAGAAUUCCGUGAAUCAUCGAGUCUUUGAACGCACAUUGCGCCCCCUGGUAUUCCGGGGGGCAUGCCUGUCCGAGCGUCAUUGCUGCCCAUCAAGCACGGCUUGUGUGUUGGGUCCCGUCCCCCUCUCCCGGGGGACGGACCCGAAAGGCAGCGGCGGCACCGCGUCCGGUCCUCGAGCGUAUGGGGCUUUGUCACCCGCUCUUGUAGGCCCGGCCGGCGCUUGCCGACACCCAACCAUUUUUUUCAGGUUGACCUCGGAUCAGGUAGGGAUACCCGCUGAACUUAAGCAUAUCAAUAAGCGGAGGA
rnacentral:misc_RNA from 1 species